rnacentral:rRNA from 1 species
UGAAAUGGCCUGGACCUAUUCUCAAACUUUAAAUGGGUAAGAGGAGUGACUUGCUUAACUGAAGUCACUCUUGCGAAUGGAAGUUGCUAGUGGGCCAUAGCUGGUAAGCAGCUCUGGCGAUGCGGGAUGAACCGAACGCAGAGUUAAAGCGCCGGACUGCCCGCUCAUGAGAUCCCAUAAAAGGUGUUGGUUCAUUUAGACAGCAGGACGGUGGCCAUGGAAGUCGGAAUCCGCUAAGGAGUGUGUAACAACUCACCUGCCGAAUGAAUUAGCCCUGAAAAUGGAUGGCGCUGAAGCGGGCGGCUUAUACUCUGCCAUCAGGGCAGGUCGUAGGCCCUGAUGAGUAGGAGGGCGUGGGGCUCGUGGUGCAGGCUUGGGCGUGAGCCCGGCUGAAACGUGCUCUAGUGCAGAUCUUGGUGGUAGUAGCAAAUAUUC